rnacentral:rRNA from 1 species
UACGAGGGGGGCAAGCGUUGUUCGGAAUUACUGGGCGUAAAGCGCGCGUAGGUGGUUUGUUAAGUUGGAUGUGAAAUCCCCGGGCUCAACCUGGGAACUGCAUUCAAAACUGACAAGCUAGAGUAUGGUAGAGGGUGGUGGAAUUUCCUGUGUAGCGGUGAAAUGCGUAGAUAUAGGAAGGAACACCAGUGGCGAAGGCGACCACCUGGACUGAUACUGACACUGAGGUGCGAAAGCGUGGGGAGCAAACAGG